rnacentral:lncRNA from 1 species
ACUUGUCCCGGUGCUUGGAUUGCAGCACAUGGGCCAGCUCGCGCAGGUGGCCCCGGUGCCGCUGUUCAUCGGGCCGCGCGGGGAAGGCGGCGGCCAAGAUGCGCUCCGUCACGGUGGAGAGAAACUAGGAGAAAAGCACAGGAUGUAGAGGUCUAUUCGGCAUAAUCUUCUCCCUCAUUUUCAUCUUCACCAUCAACAGAGAGAGCAGCAUACUUGCUUGCAGAACUGAACUUCUGUAACACAACGAGAGUGACAGGAUAAUGAAGGCCCUGAAUUAUCACAUCAAAACCCAAGACACAGGAUACUGAUCCUUUGGCAAUGGGGGAUGACAGUCAGAUGACACCCACUUGCUUGCUCAUCAGCAUUGUCCAUUGGAGAGGAGCUAGGGAAGAGGGUCAGAGGCACAUGCGAUCUUACUAUAGUCUCAUACCACCUCUACACCUUGCAGAAGGGAUGAGAACAAAGGAAGACAGAAACCAGGAAAAAGCUAAACUUCUUUCGCUAUUUCAGUAAAGACCAAUGUCUUAUUUCCAAACACUUUGUAUUCCAAA